AUUAAAUAUAAAAAAUUAAUUUUAUGAAAUUUGUUCUGCAUUUCGGCUAUUUGGGUUCCCGUGGAAGUGGAGUGCCCAGGAUCAUUCAACCUAUGUCAUUUAACAAUUUGCUUUUUCCUAUUAGCCCUAGCUAGUCGCUAGGCGGCACGCUUGUUGAAAGUCUGAAAACCUCCAUCUGGGAAAUUCUAGAGUUUAUUCUGCAAGUCGGUAAAAGCUAGGGUUUUGCCAUCUCUUGCAGACUUGGCUUCUGGUUGAGAGGGCAUUCCAUUUGCAAACGUCAAUGGGUUUUGCUUGGACAGACUAUUUAGUCUUAUUGAAUUCCACAUAUUGGCACUCAUUGUCAAGCGAUGCCUAUGGGAAAGCUUAUUUUUAUAUGUCAAUCAGGUGGGAAGUUUACCUCAGCUAGUGAUGGCUCCUUGUUGUACACAGGCGGAGAUGCUUAUGCUCUCAGUGUAAACCAUGAAAGUAAAUUUCAUGGCAGAGAUGUGGAAUUAUGAUCUUACUUCCUUGACCAUCAAAUACUUGCUACCCAAUAGCAAGCAGACUCUUAUCACCAAAUCUAGUGACGAAGACAUCCGUCGCAUGAUUGAUUUCCAUGAAGAUUCCAAAACUGUUGAUGUAUUUGUUAUGACAAAUGAAAACUUGGAAUGUGAGGCCUUAGUUAUGCCUUGUAGUAGGUAGUGUACUUAUCUUCUCUAAUGUUGAUGGGAAUUUUCAUUGUUUUUGCUGUGUUGAAUGGAUCAGCUGACUUAUGGUUACCGGUUGAUCUUAAGAAUCUUGGUAGGAUUUUAGUGCCAACUGGGUCCCACUUUUGAGAUUCUACUGUAACCUUGAAUACAGGUGACCAUGGGUUUAUUGUGUCAAAAUCCAUUUCACUGUGUGUCCUUGCAUAUUACCUAAAUAUCUUAUGCAUGCUUGUUCUUGCAUGUCCAGUGGCAAUAUGAUGAUUGAACUUGUCACCUUUCCAAUAUUGCUCCUGUUGCUUGCUUCUACUGCUGGGGAUACCAAGCAUCCCAGUUCUUUGAAUGUUGAAAUUGAGGAUGCUGGGCAUCACAAACUUAAAUCAUGGGCAAAUUGCAUAACUGGUUUGCACCAGCAGUUUAAUAAUGUACAGGAAGUGCAUGAUGCUUUGCAUAGGCAUUCCAUUGCUUGUGGAUUCAAAUGCACUUUUAAGCACAAUGACUAUACACGUGUUAAUACCAAUUGUAGAGCUGAAGAUUGCCCUUGGAAGAUUCGCGUAUCAAAGUUGUCUACUGCUUCGUUUUUCCAAAUUAAGAAGUUGAAUGAAACACUUGCAUAGCACUGGUAGGAUUGAUAAUCAUCCUCAAGCCUCAAGGAAAUUGGUUGCCACUAUUGUCAAGGAAAAGUUGUGUGACACCUAAUUUCAGACCUAAGGCGAUUGCCAAUCAAAUUUGCCAGGAAUUUGGAAUUGAAUUGAGAUAAUCACAGGCAUGGCGAGGGAUAUAGGCUGUCAAAGAAGAGCUUCAGGGAUCAUACAAAGAGGCAUAUGGUCAGCUACCUUGGUUAUGUGAGAAGAUGGUGUACUAGAGACAAAUCCUGGCAGUGGUUGUUGCUCUCAUCACAAGGGAGGACCAUAGUUUCCAUUGUUAUUUUGCAGCCUUGCAUGCCUCAAUAUGUGGUUUUAAGAAUGCUUGUCGCCCCUUGCUUUUCCUUGACGCUGACACUGAAAUCAAAACAUCAGUGAGACCUGCUUACUGCAACAGCAUUGGAUGGAAAUGAUGGCAUUUUCUCUGUGGCUUUUGCUAUAGUGGAUAUUGUAAAUGAUGAUAAUUGGCAUUGGUUUUUGGUACAACUGAAAUCCAUGUUUUCAACUUACAUUUGUGAGUCUGUCAGAGGAGUUGACGAAGGACCUUAAGGGCCUUAGAAAAGUGAGUGUGCCCAGUGCCUAGGUUCAUUUUGCAAAAUCUAUUCAAAAGCUUCAAGUGAGCUAGUGUCAUUGUUGCUCAUCUUCAUGAGGCUGCCCAUGCAGCCACAAUUGAUGGAUUUAGAAAGUGCAUUGAUAGCAUUAAAAUCAGCUCACCUUUUGCUUUUGAACGGAUUUUUGCAAAGUGAACCUGGGCACUGGGCAAACUCACUUUUUGAAGGUUCACGGCACAACCCUGUUACAUCAUGCUUUGGCCAAUCAUUUUAUAGUUGGGUAAAUGAGCUUCCAGUAUUACCAGUAGUACAAAUAAUUGACACCAUUUGCCUAAAGAUGAUGGAGUUGAUUUACGCUUGAAAGGUGGAUCCGUCCCUGGAAGAUAAAUUACAAAAAAUGAUUCUCAAGGCUCAGUCACUUCAAGUUUCAUCGUCACCUUGGAACACCUUUAAUGUUCAUAAUUUUCUAGGUGAAGUCAGUAUUGUUAACAUUGAUGCUUGGAGCUGUAGUUGCAGGGCAUGGCAACUUAAUGGCUUCCCAUGUUUUCAUGCUGUGGUUGUCCUUCAACUUUUAAAUAGGAAUUUGUAUGAGUACUGCCCAACGUAUUAUACAACUGAAUUUUUUCAGUUGACAUAUUCAGAGCCUAUAAAUCCAGUUCUGACAAAAGAUAAGCCUGUGCAAAAUAAUCUUCCCCGUACAAGUACAUCCCCCUCCUCUUCGUCGCCUAUCUGGCCCAUCGAAGCAGAGGAGAAUCCGGUCAAAAGGAGCGAUUACUAGACCAUUUCAUUGCAGCAACAUGUCAUUUUACUCAUAGCUUCAUAAUAUCUGUGGAACUGUAAUUAACUGUACAGGAAGCUGGGCAGAUCAGUAUGUAUUGGUGGCCAGAGAUGGGAUGAUGGAAAGCGAAGUUUUGUUUUUGCAACCAUGAAUGUUUAGUAUUAAUAGGCAUGAUCUGCUCAUACUAUUUAGGUUUUCUUGCAUCAUCCCUUAGAGGAUGUCAGGGACUAUUACUUUUUUGAUUUUUAUUUAGUUUUCAAAAUUUUCAUUGUUGAUCAUAUAUCAGGGCUCAUAUGCGGUGUGCUCCCUCUUCCGGCUUUGAACUCUCAUAUCAAUAAUGUUGCUUGACUCUCGGCCGCUGAAAUAAUAUGACGUUCCUAAAGCAGGUUACUCAAGAUUGAGCUUAUGCUAUCUUUACCAGGGCAUCUUAUUCAGUGCAAGAGGAAAGCAUGUAUGUUUCAGCCUAGAAUCUCUCAACUACGCGAGUUAAGCACAACUGCGUUCUUCUUCUUCUUUCAGACUAAUUAAUAUUUACAUUCACGAAAUCACAUGCUAACUAUUAAUGAUUAGUAAUUACUACCCAUUGCAACUUGUAUAUGUGAAUCAUGUGUAUGGCUGAACUAAAUAUCUUCCUGGGGGUUGGUUUUGUGGUCCAGUUUUAUCAUUGCUUGGUUGUUAAGGUGAGCCAGCCAACUGCUAACUGCACAUAAUAAAGUCGUAAUUUCGAUGGCGUCUGCCUGCAUCUCUCUCGUCCCUUCACAGGUUCUAUAAACAGAUGCCUCAUGAAAUGUCUCUGCACUUGCUAAAAGAUCAUAGAUUUCUUUAAUCCUUAUUCACUACGUUUCUAUGAUCAUAGAUUGCUUGAUGACACCCUAUACAAUACAUUUGUAUAUAUCCAAAUUUUUUGAAUCAAAUGUUCAAACUGAUUUUAAAAUCUUUAUAUGAACGGACAGGUUAGAGAUUUUUUCUGUUAAAUAAAUUAAUUAGUGCUCGUGACGAAUGCUUAUAAUUUUUAAAUAUUUCAAUUAUUUUUGCUAAGGAGGCACUCAAUACCAAAAUGAAUUUGUAAGUACAAACAAAGAGCAAGAGAGCAGUACAUUAAGAACCUCAGAACUUGCUAUGAUUAGUACUAAAGCAGACAAAAGGUAGUACAUGGUCAGCUAGCCCAAGCAGUACAUGAGCGUAGUACAAACCCUUUUCCUUUUUUGGAAAUAUAAAGCCCCCACGAACAGCCCAAAAACCACCACCGAGGACCUCGUCGCUAUCCAAAUGUGUUUACCAUAUGGUUUUCCCAGAGAGAAGGUGGAGGAAUGCCUGUAAGGUUUUGGUAGAUUUCUGGUUACAAAAAUAGCAUGGCAUCAGCAAUCAAAGGCAAGUGCGUGGGAUUUUAGAUUUUGGGAAGAGGGUAAAGAAAGAGACAGACUAAGACUGGGAACAGGCAGAGCAUGGAUGGAGCUAUUAACGGAAAUAUCUGUUUUGGCUCCACCCAUGCACUGCCUCUUCCCUGGCUUGUGGCUCUUCUUUUUCUGCCCCCUCGCUUGUUUAUAUCUUCAACAUUUCUUUCUUAUAUUUCAUUCAAAAACCCUUCUAUGUGAAAUGUUAGCCUUUUUUUUUUCUGUUUCUUUUUGAACUGAAGGGAAAUUCUAGCGUUGAUGUUUGGAAAAUUCUGCGUAUGAUAUUGAUAUUUCUAACGUUAAAAAUUUCUUUUGCUUUAUUUAGACUAAUAUUUUUGCUGACCAUUUUUACAAGAUUUGUAUUUUAUUGAUAGCUUUCAUUGAGUUCAUAAAUCAUGAAGAAAGAAGAGAUGAUGAAGGAUGCAAUUCGAUUUUCUGUAUUGGGUGUUGACUCUUAUGAGAGGCAGUGCAAAGAUCCAUGUCAUUUUGGCCAAGGAAAAUUUCUUUCCGAUGACGGACGGUGAUGAAGACAAAUCCUGAAUUCUUGCUAUUCUUGAGGAGAAGCCUGUAGAAAUGUACCUAAUAUUCUUGUUACUAUUACCAUGUUGAAUACAGAUUGUCUGAGCUCACAAAAGGGAAUUUAUUCAAACAAUUGUACAAGUCAAUUUGUACUCAUUUUUCUUGGGUUGAAAGAUUAUUAUUGCA